rnacentral:lncRNA from 1 species
UUCUCCUCAAGUCAAGAUGGAAAAAUUUGAAAUAGAUCAUCCAGAAAAAAUAAAGAAAGAAAUGCCUUCCUUCCCCCCUUGGUUAACACUCACCUCUCUCCCUCAUGUGACUUCUUAGACUUAUCUUACCCAUACUUGAUCUUUCCUUUCUCUGAAAUUUUAUUUCAGUUGGACUCAGGGAUACCCCCUCUAAGUUGAUUGCCUUUGAACGGGUCACGGUCUACAGCUCAUAUUUCCCCAGGUUACAAGCUCCUUGUGGGCAGGGCCAUGUCCUAAACCCUGUGAUAUGCUCACAGCAUCGAACUGUGAAGAAUCUCAUCUUCAUUCCCAGGAACCUGACCUAAUGCAGGCCCUCUUUGUCUCUUCCCUGGGCCAGGGCAGCGCUGGCUCCUGGCACAUCACUUAGCAGAAAGCACACCUGCGGUCCCACCUCCCUGC